GGGGCGGUAGCCCAAUCGGCAGAGGCAACAGACUUAAAAUCUGUCAAGUGUGGGUUCAAGUCCCACUCGCCCUACCA
rnacentral:tRNA from 1 species